rnacentral:misc_RNA from 1 species
AGCAGAUGGCAGGAGAAAAGGGAAGCAAAGAGGCAGAUGUAUUUGAUGAGUACUGAAAAGGCAGUCCGAUUGGGUGAAAGAAAGGACAUUAAGGUCUCUAUGUCUAGUGCUGGUGGAGCUGCUGCACAGUGCCAGAAAUGUUAUCAGAUGGGACACUGGACCUAUGAAUGCAAAAACGAACGAGUUUACAUAUCCCGACCAUCUCGAACUCAACAACUCAAGAACCCGAAGCUGAGGAUGAAGAUGGCAGUCUCAUUGGAGUUGGACAACCCAGAUUCUGGUGAGGAAAAGAAGCCCAAG